CGGGAGCUGCCCUGUCCCGGGUGGCUGGGCUGCGGGCGGAGCUCAGGGCCCACCUUUCCUGUACGGGCAAAGGCCUCGGCCACCUUGCGGUUCCGCCCUCCAUAACAGGUAGUGAUGAGAUCAGCAACACCGCAGCUCUCCAAGAAUGUGGCAGAGGACACAGGGCCACUGCAGAAGAGCUUGGCAAAGGCGAUCAUCUCCAUGAGUCCCAGCCGGAUCACCGCUGCCUUGGUGUUGUCGCCAAAGCCCAGCCCAUCACAGAAGCCAGCUCCUACAGCCACUACAUUCUUGGGGGAAUGGAGGUCAUAGGUGAGAAAGGACCCUCCUCCUGCAGGCCCCAGGUAGAGCCCUCAGCACCUGCCUUGUGCUCCUUAUAUCAGCCAUGACACAGCUACUGUGUAAGUGAAGCCUAAUGUAUGUGCUCCUAAAGUAUUUCCACCUCUGGGUUUUCCCACUUGAUGUACCCACUUUCUUAAACCCUGCCCCAUACUCCCUCCUUGAGGACAUUUUCUGAAAGCACUCUUCUCUCUAGCUGGCCCUUCCAUCCGUGACCAUUCCAUAGCCCUCAUGUCCAUAGCUGUUCAGGAUCCAUAGUUCUGAUUAUCAAUCUAUCUGGGUGUCCUGGCUGUUUUGCCUCUCCUAUUAGCCUGGGCAUCUCCUCUUCCCCGCUGGACCACCUCCUGGAGACAGGGAAAAGGGGAAAGGAAGAAGAGGGUCCAGUGUCUGAUGAUGAAUAGGCAGCAGGCCUGAAUGACCCUAGCUUUGCUUCUGCAGUUCUUCCUGUGUGUGUGGGACUUGGUGGGGAAGGGGAGCAACUGCUCAAGAGUGAAAACCUGGAGUACCAGCAACCCUGUAGAACUAAGCUGGCUCUCCUUUAGGACCUUCUCCCCACCCCAUAGCUGCCUCUGUGCCCCUCUCACCUUUAAGGCUCCACAGAUCUCGACGGUGUCCACCUCUGGCACCACUGUGAUACGGAAAUUGGGUGUCUGCAUCAGUUCUUUCAGAAGUUGUCCCUGGGCCGGGUCCUUGCAGCCUAAAGUGGGGAAGGGGCAAGGCUUUGAGGGGGGACUCUUGAACUGUUCUUCUCACAUCUGCCCUAAGCAGGACCUGCAGCCCCUUCCCUGAGGGUAUCCCAACCUCCCUCACCUCUGAUGCUUGGGUCUCCUUCCUUUCCCUGCUUUAUGGGGAGGAGACAGCUAAGUGGGGUUGGAGGAGAGUAUGGGGAAGGGAUGCAACUAGAGCUGCCUGUGUAUGUGGGUGGUGGGGGGCUCUCACCAAUGGUUGUUUCACAGAACUUCUCAUCAGCCACCUCGCUGGCAAUGUUGGCCCCCAUCAGCACGCUCAUGGGGAUGCCAAGGCGUUCCCCAAUCACUUCGGAGAUGAGCUUCAGCCCAUUGGGGCCCUCGUCUACCCCCUGGGCACAGGAUGGAGCUCAGGCCAGGUGCCCUUAUGGCCAAUGGAGGGCUUCCCACCCAGAAAUCCUGCCCCUUCCAAAUCCACUGUUCAUCAUUAUCCCUCCCAGAGGUCCUGCCCCAUCCUACCCAGCUAAAGUUUGCCAUGAGGAGGGUGGACAUGUGAAAAAUUCUCCUGCCACAUACCUUUGACCUACUUCUCCAAGGCGAUAUAUCCCCUCCAUGUCUCUAGACAGCUCUUUCCUAACUACCUCAAACAGGAGGUAGUCCAUGCAGUGAUGUCACUGCUCCAAACCAGCUCGCCUUUCACACUCCUCAAACCAGCCCACUUCUCAUAUCCCCAAGGCAUCCCUUUACACCUCCCAAACUCCCUGAAGACACUGGCCUUCAGACCAAUCUCUCAUCUACUUCCCAGCCAGCCUCCCUUCCAGCAGCCCCAGCCUCUGACUGCUUACUUUAGCCUUUCCAAAGCCAAUUCCUCUGUCCUCUCUGAGCAACUCUUGGCCUACAUCUGCCAUUUUAUGUUCUCCUUGCUUCACCCUCCCCGAGCCCCAUAACAGUUGCACUGUCCCACACCCACAUCAACGUGUCCCUGGCACCUUAAUAAGAGACAUGCCAAUGGCGUUUUUCUUCAGGUGGCCCUUGAGCUGGUCACAGAUCUUGCCAAUGAACUGAUGGGGCACCACAAAGACCAGAAUGUCAGCAUCCACUGCAGCCUGGACCACAUCUGGGACAGCUACCUGUGGGGGUGACCAGGUGCUCAGGGGCCUGGUAGAUCUCUCCUAGCCCCUGUGGAACCCCAUUCAGGAUAUCUGGGAGCUAAAGAGUGAGGCUGGUGGGGGAGAAGGAAAGGUGGUUUGGGACAGAAUCUAGAAGGACUGAACUUGGAGGAACAAGACACUCUAUUCCCUCCCCCAGCCAUCACUCGCCCUCAUUCCAGCUGUCUGGGCUCUUCAGGACUGGAAACCUCCUCCCAGCAUUUCUGUCCCUUGGCUGUGGGACAGUAAGCGAAGUCAAAAGUAGCCUGGGCUUGGCAGGAGGAAGAGGCCAAAUAAGAUUUCAUCACCGUGCUCCCUAGGGCCCCCAGCUGGGAAGCAGUCUUUCUGCUCUCUCCUGCUCCCCCUUUCCAGGUAGGGAGAGAGGCACAUGGAUGUGACCAAAGACCAUAAGUCCAAGGAGCAGCCUCCCAGUCUGUUAAUAACCCAGUGAAUGAGUAACAGGAUUAGCGCCUGUGGCAGGCACUACCUGGACCCCAAGUCUGGGAGCCUAGUCUUUGGCUGCCAAGGAGACAGGCUUCCUUUCCAGUCCUUUCCCCACCCACCUGCCUGGGAGCCUGUAAGGGGGUAGGUACAUUCCAGUUCUCCUCAGUCCUAGAAAGCGUCCACAGCAGUCCUCCUGAGCUGUUUCCCAAGUCCAGCUCCCACCUGAAACUGCCCCCUCUCAGCAGGAGGCACCUCUUGAGUAAGACCCACCAUCCUGGCUGUCCCUCCCUCUACUUCCCUCUCUCCUUUCCUUGCAAGGUAUUGGGGCUCACCACAUUUGGGGGCAGCUUGUGCCCUGGCAGGUAUUUAACAUUCUCAUGCUGCGUGUUGAUGAUCUCUGUCAGCUUUCUGCCUCCAACAUCUUCCUCAAACACCCACAUGGUCACCCGUGGGUCAAAGCUUGCCAGCUGGGCUGCAUUGCCACCCACGAUCUUGGCGAUGGCAGAGCCCCUGGCAGGAGGGGGAGGACAGGAGAGUGGAGGAGUGAGGGAGGGAACAGUGGCAGGGGUUGGGGCAGUGCCCCAUCUCAGGAUCUCACAGCAGCCCACCAGAUUAUUCACUCCCACUGUCCGUGCCACCCCCACUCCCAUGACAACUGUGUCCCCAAUGACCAGGCAGUAGAAAGGAGACUCAGUCCACCUCACCCUUUGCCACUAGAGAAGGGGGCCAGCCUUCUGAUCGCUCCCCCCCCAAACCCAAACAGCUUUUCAAACAGAGCAUGCCCUGGAGACUCCAUUCCCAGCCGCAAACAGGUGCGGCUGACCAGGCAGGCAGGGGCCAGGAGCAAUCUGGGCACUGCCUGUCUUGUGCCUGCAGGCACAGACGAUAGCACCAGGGGCUGAACAGGAACCUGAGGGCAUUUCCUACCCACUCUCUGCCUCCUCCUUAGCCCUUCUGUAAUUAGGGGGACCCACGCUGCCCCCACAUCCCCUAGCAGAGCCGCUUACCAGUUGCCGGAGCCUACAAUGCAGACUUUCUUGCCAGCCAUGGUUCUGCUUCUCUGCCCAAGCAGGCUCAGUGCCACACUCCCCAGCUCUUCUGCCGGUGGGAGCAUUUAACUCUGCCACACGUGGGUGCAGCCAAGCCCCGCCCUCCAGGGGUGGGUGGAGGCUGGCGCCCAGGGAGAUUGAGAGUCUGGCAGGGCCAGGGAAAGGGGAGAAAAGGGUAGGGACAGGUGGGGAACAGGAACAGAGCAGAGACCAGGCUCAGCUUCUCCUAGGUUUGCCAGCUGACAGUGCUGGCAAGCUUCUUACAUUGGCCCCAGCCCAGUUCCCCAUCCCCCUCCUAGCCAUGGUCUCCUUUUGAGGUCUGCCAAGAAAAUAGCCCAUAUAAGGAGCAGGUGACUGGUCCCCCUCACUCCCUUCUGUCCCCCAGCACUGAAAUAAAUUGUAUUUAGCCUUA